AGCUUACUUUUAUUUUACAGGUGACAAAUUCCCAAGAAGAGGCUGUGUACUGUCUUGAGCAUGCCCUCAUUUUCUUGAAGCAAAACCCAACCCAUCUAGAAUACUGCAAGCUUAUGUACACUUACAGCUUGUCGGAGCUGGAUAUAUCACUGAAACAGAUGGAUGAGCGGAUUCACAUCAAGAGUGGGAAAAAAUCAUCGCCCAACACCAAACGAACAAAAACCAGGGAACAUCUGGACUCUGUUAGCAGCACUAGUAGUUCAAACCUGUGAUGGUAAUCAAGUUGUGGUUUGAUUCUUUUCAUUCCUCAUGUAAAGUUCUGCCUUGUUUUUAAAGAAACUAAGUCAGUGUUGGAGGUAAUGAUUGCUAACAGUCUGUUGCAAUUUAGUGUCUUUUAUCUUGUACAUUCCAUUAUUGAAAAUCUUUUUCAAAAGACAGUAAACAUGUGUGACUGAAUGGCAGUCACCCAGUGAAGUAUUUACAGGAUUUGCAGUAUAUUGUCAACAUUGAAAAUACUUUGAGAACCUUGUAUAUUUUCGUUAUCUGUGUGUAUAAGAAAUAUUUCUUUUGGACAAUCAGUACUAAACAAAGGAUUCAUUUUAGGAAAUACUUAUAAUCAGAGAUAUCUGCAAGCAAGGGGGGAAUUAUGAAUGCAAUAUGUUUCAUAAAGCAAUGAAUUAUGUAGUUUUGUAUGUAGUUUUUGAGGUGCAAAAUCCUUCUUCAGUCAUGCUACUGGGAGUUGAUCAUUUUGAAAGUAUUUAACAUGAAAUAAAAUGGAAUUGAAUCCUGAGCCAAAGAUGUCUUCCCUCAAAUGGUUGUGUCAUACAGAUAUUUGAAUUUGCCAUGUGACUGUGAGGUGAUAAAUGCCAAUUUGAAUGUAUCAGUAAUUAAAGCCUCUAGUCCAUAUGUCUGAAUUAUAUUAUUAAAAAGGAAAAAAGAAUCUGGACUGAAUAUAGUAGCUGUUAUCAAGAAAUGUAUUGUUUCUAAAUCACUUGGAUUCCAGAUAAAAGUUGUUGUUUUUUCUCUUUUAUACUAAUAUUGACCAUUGAUAAGUUAUUGAGUACAUAAUCAAGAGUAUUUGAUAUUAAACUUCUUGAAUGGUAUUAUUACUACCUGAAUUCCAGAUCAUUGUAUUAUAGGGCAAUUAUCUAAAAGGAAAUUUCAUAAUGUUGUUCUAUUUAUACUGUUGUACUUCAGAUUCUUUGUUAUAAGUUUUAAUUCAAAUCAGUGUAGACACUGUAACUUUAAGCUUUAUCCAUUCUAUAUUCAGUGAUUUUAUUUUUCAAGUAACAGAUUUGUAAAUUUGGCCAUUUACAUUAUCCACAUGCUGAUAUAGUAAGUUGUAUUAUUUUUUGCUUAUGAUAAAGAUGAGGUACACACAUAGUAUACGGGGUUGUAGGUGUUACUUUUUUUUUUUCAUUUAAGAAAGAAAGAAAUACUGUAUGUGAUACGGGAUUGACAUAUCAAAAGAACAAAUCUUCGUUUAAUAUUCAAGAGACUACUGGUGAACUACAAAAAUGUUUAACUGAAAGUUACUCAUAAUAUGUAUUAAAUCAAUGGCAUACUAUAUAGAAGAAACAGGGUUAAUGUAGAUAAAUACUAUAACAAUGCUAUAGUGAUGUGUUAUCUGAUGUUAAGUAUAAAUGAAUGAACAGCAAUUUAUUUUUAUGUUAAUAUUAGAAAAAAAAAAUUCUUAGGCAUUCAGUAUUUAUUAUUAUUAUUAUUGUUAUUAUUUAUUUACUUAUAUAUUUUUUAUUGGUUUUGUUUUUCAUAUAUUUAUGGAAUUUUUUCAUGAUCAUGAUUUAUGAGUAAUAUUGUAAAUUCAUUAUUUCCAACUGUAAAGAGGAAUAUUAAUAGAAUGACAAACUCACUUAAAAGAUAAGAAAGAGGAUAAGAUAAUGAUGGUGCAAUGACUUUGGGUGCAUCUUACAGAGUCAGUUGUGAUGCAAUAAGAUAUUAGCAUGUUUUGUGGUAUAGAAACAAUUGUUUGAAACCAAAUAAUAUUUUUGUAUUUAUUUGUGAUGUGUAUUGGAAUGAAUUAUAUAUAUAUUAGUUUAUGUGUCUUUGUAGGAAAAUAAUAAUUUUAUACCAUAAUCUAGUACUAAGGCUUAACCCUCACACUUCACAAGUUGAUACAAAAGAGGUGCUGUUGAUGAACAAAUUGUGUUGCUCUACCACAGAUACGCACAUUUAUUUACUGAAGGAUUACACUUGAUGUGUUAUUGUACAUAAAAAGAAAAAUAUUGUAAAGAUUGUCAGUGAAUACAGCAUAAACCAAACUGGUAUUAGCUUGUGCAUAUUCACUGCUGUAAUGUCAUUAUUUAAAGAUUAUUGUAUCAUAACUAGGCAUAUGGUAGUACUGUAGCAGAGAGCAGCAGUUGUAGAAAUAAUGUAAGUUGGAGAAACUGCUCUUUAUUUUAUUUAUUUAAUUGACAGGCAAUGAAGGCAAAACAUUGGUUGGGACAUUUCUCAACAUGUUACGGACUAAUGUGAACUGUAAAUGACAAAGUCUUUAUUCUAAGGAAAACUUAUCUUUUUUCUGUCUCUAUCUCUCUUUUUUUAUGUUUUGCUUUUGUGCAAGGGAACAUGAACUCGCAUGUAGACUAGUAUUACUUACAAAUGCUAAAGGUUCAUGUGGUAGACCUCGCAACCAUAAGAAGAUAACAUUGUAAGUAAUUUCUGAGCCAUAAAUGUGAAGGAUAUUUUUGAAAUUGUGAAGUUUCCACUGCAAAAUGAAUAACAAUUGCACAAAAAUUAUUUAUGGCUCAUAUUUGUAAACUUGCAAAUUUCUGCAGUCUUUGUACCUGUACAUUCUGUCUUCAACCCUGGGACUAUGUUACUGUAGUUUCUAGUGACAUUAUUAUUGCAAUUAAUAACUGUGUCAGUUUGAUGUUUCAAUCUCCAUGGAAAGUAAUUCACAACAUGUAUAGAUAGAAGAUGUCCUAAUUUUAGGUAACUUUUUGACCUUUACCUCCUGGCCCCAACAGUAUAUAUACACAUAUAUAUGUAUUUUUCCCCCUUUUUUAUGUAAUUAUUCAUAUCAGCUUGCAUAAGCUGAUUCAUGGGGAUGAUUGUUUACUUAUCUCUUGUGAGAAAAGAAAAACACAAGAAAUGGUUGUGUACUUAAGUGUUUUUGAACAGAAUUGGAAGUCCACUUUUUUACUUUGAAUAUAUCAGAUCUUUGAAAAUUUAAAUACACAUUACCUUUUAAAACUGAGCAUGAUUCACCAUGAUGAAGCUUAGUAUUGAGAAGAGAAUUUAUUUCUCUUCCAGAAUUUAACAUUCAAAUUUCUUUGAGUGAAAGGAAUAUCUUGGAAAGAAUGAGUUUGUACCAGUCAGAAUUGACUAUGCACGUUUGCAAUAGAACAUGGAUUUAGUCAUGUUUGUAAAUGCUUUUUUUCUGUAGUUAUCAACAUAUGUUGAUCACAUGAAGAAGCAAAGCCUUAUGGCACCUCACCGUCUUCUUAACGUGCCACUCUACCCAUUGUAUAAAGCUUGUAUAUGACAUAUUUAAGAUGUUUUAAAUCUUAUCAGCAUCUGAUUUUUUGCUAUUUUCUCAGAGACCUGAUGAUGGUGAUGUAAUUGUAAUGAAGAAAAUCUUGAGUUCUUCAUGGUAGAUUCUGUCAUAGAUUUAGAUUUGUAAUAGAUUGUUGUAAUACAUGACAGUUCAAGUUUCAGAUUCAAUUAGUUAGCAAAAUCAUUUAGGUAAAAAAUAUGAAUAUACCAUUUAAGAAUUGUGGAAUUUAUCAUAUUGUCAAGAUUUCAUUGCUGUUUGUUGCAAGAUUGGUAAACAUGUAUUACAAAUGCAUUUAUAUAGUCAAUAGGGAGGGUAAUCUAUUGACUUACUUGUGGAGCGAUAUUAAUGUGUGCUGCUGUAAAGGCUUCCAAUUUUCAGUUCAGCAUUCUGUGAUAAAGCAAUUUAAUUUCUGCUGUAAUGUAGCGUUCCCAUGAGAUUUCAGUUUUUUUCUUUUGUACAUAAAAGCUUGGUAGAACAACAUUGCCAAGUGUGGAAUACUUGAAAGUAAUAUUUAUAUUUAUUGAUAUUUUUUUUGUACUCCAGUUGCUAUAUUGGUGGAUAGUGAAGAUGCAGGUGAGUUUAGAAGCAUCUUCAUUUAUUUUUAUUUUUAUUUUUCUUCCUCUUCCUCUUCUUAUGUAAUCCAUGCAUAUCAUUUACUCUGUAUUAUUUUUUACUUUUGUUUCAUUUUCUUAAGUAUGCAUUUUAAGAAUAACUAUGAACCUCCAGAUAAGAUUCCCCAUGUCUGUAAGCUCAAUUCUACCGUAGAAUUUUUGUUAUGAAAAUAGCAAGUAUAUAUAUAUGUACUAUUUCAGGCUACAUAUAUAAUAUACAUCCAUUUUGAGUAUAUUGUCCUUAAUUUUGCUCAAAAUAGAGACACCUCUAAUGCCAACAUUUCUUAUACUCAUCAAGCUUUGAGCAUUUACAUCCCCUUGUUUACAAGUACUUUGCUUGGCAUUAAAGACAAUACCUUCCUUUUUUAUUAUUUUUCAAUUGCAGGUGUGUAUAGUAUUGAGCAGAAGAAAGUUUCCUAAAAGUUUUAUGUUUCCAUUACUCACUCAUUUUGCAGAAUAGUAAAGUAGGUAUAUUAUGUCAGCCAUUUCAACAUGAAAGUCAAGUAUGCAAUUCGUAUCUCUAUUUUGACAUCGUAAAUAUUUCUACUAUAUAUUAUUUUAUAAUGUUUGUGAAAUGAAUGGACAAAAUGCUUUCUAAGUAUUGGUUUCUGACAUAUAUAGCAGAUACCAUAAGCAUAUGAAUAAGAUAAAUAGUUGUCAAUUUCAAGUCUGAUCUGCUAUCUGGAACUCUCCUGUGGAACACUGCCAUACAUGUUGUACUUUUGACACAACUGUGGCUUUUGUACAGAAGAUGAAUGAAUAAAACACAUUUUCAUAAUAAU